UACAAAAAUACCUACCACUCUAUGAAAUGCCAUAACAUUAUUUUUAGGGUUAUAUACAUAUUAUGGUAUACUUUGAAAUGCCCUCUAAUUAACGCAUGAUAGGAUAGCAUUCCGUAUAAGAAGCAUUCAAUGUGGGAUUAAAUGCUAUUUAUGUAGUGGAUGGAGGCUCUAUAUUGCGAAUGUAGAGCCUCCAUUCUAAUAUAUACUUGUACGUAAGUGUGUGUACAUAUAUUAGAUGAGAUGC
rnacentral:lncRNA from 1 species